rnacentral:lncRNA from 1 species
UUGUAGCAAGCGAAUGAUGAUGCGAUUCCAGCUCGAGCACCUUCGAAUCACUCGAUUUCUCAAGCUGCCAUGGAAAUGCCUUCUUGCAACAGCUGCGAUUUCUUGCUCGAAUUUCGCUCAAAACCUGCAAACAGCAAUUCAACAAUACAUGUAUAUGACGGAUUGCAAAGAAUUAACACCAAAUCAGUGAGGGUUGAUGAAUUGGUGCAAAAAUUCUUGGUGAAGAGUUGGAGGGAAAAUGAGAGAAAAUGGAGUUUUGGCUUUGAGAUUUUCUGUUAGAUCCUCAAUUGUGAUGGUGAAUUAUGAUUAGUUN